rnacentral:rRNA from 1 species
AACGAACGCUGGCGGCAGGCUUAACACAUGCAAGUCGAACGCAUCCUUCGGGGUGAGUGGCAGACGGGUGAGUAACGCGUGGGAACGUGCCCUUCAGUUCGGGAUAACCCAGGGAAACUUGGGCUAAUACCGGAUACGUGCGAGAGCAGAAAGAUUUAUCGCUGAAGGAUCGGCCCGCGUCUGAUUAGCUAGUUGGUGGGGUAAUGGCCCACCAAGGCGACGAUCAGUAGCUGGUCUGAGAGGAUGAUCAGCCACAUUGGGACUGAGACACGGCCCAAACUCCGACGGGAGGCUGCAGUGGGGAAUAUUGGACAAUGGGCGAAAGCCUGAUCCAGCCAUGCCGCGUGAGGGAUGAAGGCCUUAGGGUUGUAAAGCUCUUUCGUCCGGGACGAUAAUGACGGUACCGGAAGAAGAAGCCCCGGCUAACUUCGUGCCAGCCGCCGCUGUAA